UACGUAGGGUGCGAGCGUUAAUCGGAAUUACUGGGCGUAAAGCGUGCGCAGGCGGCUUUGCAAGACAGAUGUGAAAUCCCCGGGCUCAACCUGGGAACUGCAUUUGUGACUGCAUGGCUAGAGUGCGGCAGAGGGGGAUGGAAUUCGCGUGAUAGCAGUGAAAUGCGUAGAUAUGCGGAGGAACACCGAUGGCGAAGGGCAA
rnacentral:rRNA from 1 species